GUGUGGUCGGGCUACCAGGCAGCUCUGCCCUGACUGACAGCCCGGCUGCAGGGACUGCAGCUCUGCCCUGUGCUCUGCGUGGGCUGCAGGCCUUUGUUACCACCCACCCCAGAAAAAGGGGAGAGGAGUAACCCAGGUUCUUAUCAGUAAUUCCCUUGGGGUGGAUUAGAGUGAAACGACACUGAAUAAUCGGUGUCUGAAAACAUAUAUAGCAGUCAGAGCCCUGGACUGAACUCAUAGCUAGACUAUGGUCAGCACAGUGCAAGUAUGCUCCGUAAAACCAAUGUCUUUUUCAAAGAGAAGAUUGGUAUCCAGUGACAGACAAAAUAGAGGCAUAUGAAUUGCCUGAAGGUCAGAGGCAGAACUGGAGAUCUGCUCCUGUGUCCUAGCUACAGAAUUACAUCGCUAUGAAGCAGUCACCUUCUUUCAAAUGUUACCCAUGUUUUCUUUAAGUUAUUUAUUCUUCAGUGCUUUUUCCAUGCACUGAAUUUUUAUUAAUGUCAACUUUUCUCCCCAAAACUGUUGUUGUGGUUCUUUUCAUUUAAAGAAUAAUAAAAAUACCAAAAAUCUGCAAA